rnacentral:rRNA from 1 species
UGAACGCCAGCGGGAUGCCUUACACAUGCAAGUCGAACGGCAGCGGGAAAGUAGCUUGCUACUUUUGCCGGCGAGUGGCGAACGGGUGAGUAAUGUAUCGGAACGUGCCCAGUAGCGGGGGAUAACUACGCGAAAGCGUGGCUAAUACCGCAUACGCCCUACGGGGGAAAGGGGGGGAUCUUAGGACCUCUCACUAUUGGAGCGGCCGAUAUCGGAUUAGCUAGUUGGUGGGGUAAAGGCCUACCAAGGCGACGAUCCGUAGCUGGUUUGAGAGGACGACCAGCCACACUGGGACUGAGACACGGCCCAGACUCCUACGGGAGGCAGCAGUGGGGAAUUUUGGACAAUGGGGGAAACCCUGAUCCAGCCAUCCCGCGUGUGCGAUGAAGGCCUUCGGGUUGUAAAGCACUUUUGUCAGGGAAGAAAAGGUUUCGGAUAAUACCCGGAACUGAUGACGGUACCUGAAGAAUAAGCACCGGCUAACUACGUGCCAGCAGCCGCGGUAAUACGUAGGGUGCAAGCGUUAAUCGGCAAUUACUGGGCGUAAAGCGUGCGCAGGCGGUUCGGAAAGAAAGAUGUGAAAUCCCAGGGCUCAACCUUGGAACUGCAUUUUUAACUACCGAACUAGAGUAUGUCAGAGGGGGGUGGAAUUCCACGUGUAGCAGUGAAAUGCGUAGAUAUGUGGAGGAACACCGAUGGCGAAGGCAGCCCCCUGGGAUAAUACUGACGCUCAUGCACGAAAGCGUGGGGAGCAAACAGGAUUAGAUACCCUGGUAGUCCACGCCCUAAACGAUGUCAACUAGCUGUUGGGCCCUUCGGGGCUUAGUAGCGCAGCUAACGCGUGAAGUUGACCGCCUGGGGAGUACGGUCGCAAGAUUAAAACUCAAAGGAAUUGACGGGGACCCGCACAAGCGGUGGAUGAUGUGGGAUUAAUUCGAUGCAACCGCGAAAAAACCUUACCUACCCUUGACAUGUCUGGAAUCCUGAAGAGAUUUAGGAGUGCUCGCAAGAGAACCGGAACACAGGUGCUGCAUGGCUGUCGUCACUCGUGUCGUGAGAUGUUGGUUAAGUCCCGCAACGAGCGCAACCCUUGUCAUUAGUUGCUACAUUUAGUUGAGCACUCUAAUGAGACUGCCGGUGACAAACCGGAGGAAGGUGGGGAUGACGUCAAGUCCUCAUGGCCCUUAUGGGUAGGGCUUCACACGUCAUACAAUGGUCGGGACAGAGGGUUGCCAAACCGCAAGGUGGAGCUAAUCUCAUAAACCCGAUCGUAGUCCGGAUUGCAGGCUGCAACUCGCCUGCAUGAAGUCGGAAUCGCUAGUAAUCGCGGAUCAGCAUGUCGCGGUGAAUACGUUCCCGGGUCUUGUACACACCGCCCGUCACACCAUGGGAGUGGGUUUUACCAGAAGUAGUUAGCCUAACCGCAAGGGGGGCGAUUACCACGGUAGG